AGAGAGAGACAUGCGCGCAUAUCAAUAAGCGGAGGAAAAGAAACUAACAAGGAUUCCCCUAGUAACGGCGAGUGAAGCGGGAAGAGCUCAAAUUUGAAAUCUUAAAGGGUUUCCCUUUACGAAUUGUAGUUUAAAGAAGUGUUUUCUGUUGAGGUUUUGGUAAAAGUUCUUUGGAAUAGGACAUCAUAGAGGGUGAGAAUCCCGUAUUUGACCUUUACUUUCAACUUUGUGAUACACUUUCAAAGAGUCGGAUUGUUUGGGAAUGCAGUCCAAAAUGGGUGGUAAAUUUCAUCUAAAGCUAAAUAUUGGCGAGAGACCGAUAGCGAACAAGUACCGUGAGGGAAAGAUGAAAAGAACUAUUGAAAAGAGAGUUAAACAGUACGUGAAAUUGUCAAAAGGGAAGCGUUUGACACCAGUGUUGUUUUUCUGAAAAUCAAUUAAAGAACUGUUUAUGCUAAGUUGUUUAGACUUUAUCAGCUAACUGUUUAGUUUUGAGCUUUUCUUUAAUGCACUUUUCAGUUAACAAGUCAACAUCAAUUUCUUUUGCUGUAAAAAAGCUUGAGGAAGGUGGCUUGAGAUUCGUCUUAAGUGUUUAUAGCCUCUUGCCUAUGCAGUCGGAGAGAUUGAGGUCUGCAGCGUAGAUCCUUCGGGGCUAAAUGCAUUUGUGCUAAGUUAUAGCAUUUUAUAGACAACUUGUUGACUAUGAUUUGUCUUGUAGCUUACUCGCUUAUGUUAUUUUACCUACGCUUAGGAUGUUGAGCGCAUGUCUCUCUC
rnacentral:rRNA from 1 species